GGAGAUUUGGGGGCAUUGGAAUGAAGGGUUUGGGAAUUUAGGAUGGGAGAUUUGAGAUGAAGGAUUUGGGAAUUUGGUAUAAAAGAUUUGGGGGAUUUGGGAUGAAGGAUUUGGGAUCUUUGGAUCAAGGAUUUGGGGAUUUUGGACCAAGGAUUUGGGGAUUUGGGAUGGGGAAUCUGGGAUAAAAGAUUUGGGGAUUUGGGAUGAAGGAUUUAGGAAUUUUGGAUCAAAGAUUUGCAAAUUUGGAUUGAAGGAUUUGGGAUUUGGGAAUUUGGGAUGAAGGAUUUGGGAAUUUUGGGGUGAAGGAUUUGGAAUUUGGGGUGAAGGAUUUGAAUUUUUGGAUGAAUUUUGGGGGGAAGGAUUUGGAUUUUGGGAUGAAGUAUUUGGGAAGUUUGGGAUGAAGAAUUUGGAUUUUGGGGUGAAGAGUUUGGAUUUUGGGAUGAAUUUUGGGGUGAAGGAUUUGAAUUUUUGGAUGAAUUUUGGGGCAAAGGUUUUGGAUUUUGGAUUGAAGGGUUUGGAUUUUGGGGUGAAGGAUUUUGGGGUGAAGGAUUUGGAUUUUGGGAUGAAUUUUGGGGUGAAUUUUGGGGUGAAGGAUUUGGAAUUUGGGAUGAAUUUUGGGGUGAAUUUUGGGGUGAAGGAUUUGGAUUUUGGGGCGAAGGAUUUGGAAUUUGGGGUGAAGGAUUUGGAUUUUGGGGUGAAUUUUGGGAUGAAGGAUUUGGAAUUCAGGAUGAAUUUUGGGGUGAAUUUUGGGGUGAAGGAUUUGGGCUUUGGGAUGCAGGAUUUUGAGUUUGGGGUGACGGAUCUGGAAUUUGGGGUGAAUGAUUUGGAUUUUGGGAUGAAUUUUGGGGUGAAGGAUUUGGAAUUUGGGGUGAAAUUUGGG
rnacentral:lncRNA from 1 species